rnacentral:piRNA from 2 species
AGCCAAUGUCAGGCGGUUCUGUAACUGA